rnacentral:rRNA from 1 species
UACAGAGGUCUCAAGCGUUGUUCGGAUUCAUUGGGCGUAAAGGGUGUGUAGGUGGCGCCGUAAGUCGGGUGUGAAAUUUCGGAGCUUAACUCCGAAACUGCAUUCGAUACUGCGGUGCUUGAGGACUGGAGAGGAGACUGGAAUUUACGGUGUAGCAGUGAAAUGCGUAGAGAUCGUAAGGAAGACCAGUGGCGAAGGCGGGUCUCUGGACAGUUCCUGACACUGAGGCGCGAAGGCCAGGGGAGCAAACGGG